AAAGGAAUAGACGGGGACCCGCACAAGCAGCGGAGCAUGUGGUUUAAUUCGAAGCAACGCGAAAAACCUUACCAGGGCUUGACAUCCCUCUGCAGUCAGCUAGAGAUAGUCGACGUUAUCCUUCGGGGUACAGAGGUGACAGGUGGUGCAUGGUUGUCGUCAGCUCGUGUCGUGAGAUGUUGGGUUAAGUCCCGCAACGAGCGCAACCCUUAUUCUUAGUUGCCAGCAUUUAGGAUGGGCACUCUAAGGAGACUGCCGGGGAGAACUCGGAGGAAGGUGGGGAUGACGUCAAAUCAUCAUGCCCCUUAUGUCCUGGGCUACACACGUGCUACAAUGGCCUGUAACAGAGGGCAGCGAAGGCGUAAGCUGGAGCGAAUCCCAGAAAACAGGUCUCAGUUCGGAUUGUGGGCUGCAACCCGCCCACAUGAAGUCGGAGUUGCUAGUAAUCGCGAAUCAGAAUGUCGCGGUGAAUGCGUUCCCGGGUCUUGUACACACCGCCCGU
rnacentral:rRNA from 1 species